AACCUCGUGGGCUACGACAGUUCGGCCAUUUCCUCCUUGAGCUUUGUGGAGAUGCAUUGGAGACCUGUGCCGGGAAAGAAUGCGGGUGAAUUAUACAAGCCUCCAUGAGGGGGUCUGGCCCCUGACUUGAAGUCAAGACGAAGACAUUAUUGAUGAAUUGACACAAGUCAUAAGGACUGGAUUCUCUGAACAGGCUUCUAUGUGUGCUGGUCCGUUAUAAAGAUGAGGUUGCAUUUACUAGGGAACUUGACAAAGGGUGAAAAAGGAGCAUCCCAGAAUAUUCCACAGCCGCAACUAAAGAUUACAUGUCUAUGCAGACACUCCAGCCAAGCAAUCUGUUUUGAGUCUUCAGUUUCAUACUUUAGUUAUAAUAAUCUGUAUAUAUUGUACUGGUUAUUUGUCAUUAGGCAUUUACUAAUAAAAUUCUACUUUUAAAUAACUUAA